AGUGAACGCUGGCGGUAGGCCUAACACAUGCAAGUCGAACGGCAGCACAGGAGAGCUUGCUCUCUGGGUGGCGAGUGGCGGACGGGUGAGGAAUACAUCGGAAUCUACUCUGUCGUGGGGGAUAACGUAGGGAAACUUACGCUAAUACCGCAUACGACCUACGGGUGAAAGCAGGGGACCUUCGGGCCUUGCGCGAUUGAAUGAUCCGAUGUCGGAUUAGCUCGUUGGCGGGGUAAAGGCCCACCAAGGCGACGAUCCGUAGCUGGUCUGAGAGGAUGAUCAGCCACACUGGAACUGAGACACGGUCCAGACUCCUACGGGAGGCAGCAGUGGGGAAUAUUGGACAAUGGGCGCAAGCCUGAUCCAGCCAUACCGCGUGGGUGAGGAAGGCCUUCGGGUUGUAAAGCCCUUUUGUUGGGAAAGAAAUCCAGCUGGCUAAUACCCGGUUGGGAUGACGGUACCCAAAGAAUAAGCACCGGCUAACUACGUGCCAGCCGCCGCAGUAA
rnacentral:rRNA from 1 species